AAGUCGUAACAAGGUCUCCGUAGGUGAACCUGCGGAGGGAUCAUUACUGAGUGUGGGCUCCGGCCCUACCUCCAACCCCAUGUCGAAACGACUCUGUUGCCUCGGGGGCGACCCGGCCUUCGGGCGUCGGGGCCCCCGGCGGACACCUUCAUAACUCUUGCAUCUCUUGCGUCUGAGUGAUACAUAUAAUCAAUCAAAACUUUCAACAACGGAUCUCUUGGUUCUGGCAUCGAUGAAGAACGCAGCGAAAUGCGAUAAGUAAUGUGAAUUGCAGAAUUCAGUGAAUCAUCGAAUCUUUGAACGCACAUUGCGCCCCUGGCAUUCCGGGGGGCAUGCCUGUUCGAGCGUCAUUACACCACUCAAGCCUGGCUUGGUAUUGAGCGCCGCGGCCUGCCCGCGCGCUCCAAUGUCUCCGGCUGAGCCGUCCGUCUCUAAGCGUUGUGAAUAGCGAUCGCUUGCGAGGCCCGGGCGCGCUCGACGCCGUUAAACCCCCCAUUUUCUAUGGUUGACCUCGGAUCAGGUAGGGAUACCCGCUGAACUUAA
rnacentral:rRNA from 1 species